GCACUGCUGAGGAGUCCUACAAUAGGACGAAACAGCCUGUCCAGUGU
rfam:Schistosoma mattheei strain Denwood, Zambia genome assembly, scaffold: SMTD_scaffold0020142